GGAAGUAAAAGUCGUAACAAGAUUUCCGUAGGUGAACCUGCGGAAGGAUCAUUAAAGAGAAUAUGCCCUUCGGGGUAGAUCUCCCACCCUUUGUUUAUAUUACCUUUGUUGCUUUGGCAGGCCCGUCUUCGGACCACCGGCUUCGGCUGGUCAGUGCUUGCCAGAGGACCCAAAACUCUUAUUAUUAAUGUCGUCUGAGUACUAUAUAAUAGUUAAAACUUUCAACAACGGAUCUCUUGGUUCUG
rnacentral:misc_RNA from 1 species